rnacentral:tRNA from 1 species
GGUGGUUCAGUGGUAGAAUGCUCGCCUGCCACGCGUGCCCGGGUUCGAUUCCCGGCUGAUCCU